rnacentral:lncRNA from 1 species
CGGGGCCCGCCAACUCUCCUGGGUACAAAGUACAGCAGGGACGCAGGCGGAGCCUUUCCAAGCGGCGCAGCCAUAUCUUUCCCCACUGAACACCUAGAUGGAUUUCCAAUACCGCGCCUGGCACGUUCGGGAGGGAGCCUCAGGCUCCUUCCGAGCUCCCAGCCGCGCGUCCUCCUUUUUGCAGUCUAUAUUCGUCUGGGAGACGCAAGGGGCUCUGGGCACCACAAGCCUUAUUAAGAGAUUCGCAAUGGUUUACUCAGGCCCCUAAACCGCUCCCGCCUGCGAAGGGCAGCCUGCGGUGUUGUAACGCAGAAGCUCCUAACGCAAGGUUUUUGCGCUUCCUCCUCCUAACACCGCUCAGGGUCAGUUUCAGCGACUCUAAGAGUAUCUGCGUGGGCGCCUGUGCGGGGGUCCCGCCCAAAGAAAGGAGUUGGACCGCGCGAAGAACGUCACCGUGCUACCAGACCGCACAGGCACUUUGCACGGGCCAUCUACGCGUCGGUCUGGAAGUAGCGCGCCCUGGGUGCAGAUCAUGAACUCAUAAACGUCGCCAACUCUGCCUGACCCUCAGCCCGGCCAGCCGUUAUUUUUGUUUGAGCUGAGCCACAGUUACCGCCACGGGUUUCCCACGGGAUGAGUCCCCAGCUCGCCCUCAGCCCCGCCCUGCCGCGCCCCUCCGCUAGCCAGAGUCUGCCUGGCGCCCCUAGCGGAGUCUAGAGCAUCACCGCUCUGCGUUUGCGCAUCCCCGUUUGACGGGAAGUAGGACUGGAGAAUGAACUAGGCAGUAGGUCUUUUUCUUCUUUCAGGUGGGGUUGUGCCCUUGCCCGAACCCCUUCGCCACUCCCUCUCCACCCAGGGCGGAGCCAGGUGCUUAGUAAAAUCGGUCCGGCGCUUCGAACCCCGGGCAUUCUGUAGUCCCCAUCUAAACCCCACUUGGAGCCAAAAGGAACUGAGGACCAAGAGUUUUUUAGAAGAUUCCAGGGUUUGGCGGGGAAGGGAUUGUAACGGAAACCACCCUGUUUUCCGGCUCACAACCGGCGCUUUUGAUUUCAAAGACCAAGGGCUGGGCACUCCCAGGACACUGCUGGUCUGCCUUAGGCCGGGCGAGUCAGGGCGCAAUUUCUGCGGGGCCGCCUGGGAGUCGAGGCUGCUGCCGCUACACUAGGAUUUCUCCCUCACCUAAGCUUCUGGAGGUGCAGAUGUAAGAGCAACAACAGACUCGGUUCCUGCCCCGGUUUCUGUCGAAGACCAGGCACCGGGGCCAGGACCUCCGUGGCGCCUUCUGAGCCUUGGCCAAUCCCGACCGCGUUGCUGCCGCCCGCAGGCUAAAGAGUGCGGCCUGCCUGGCCCCUGAAGGUUGCUGCCUUUCAAGUGGUGCCUAAUAAGUUAUUUUCUUGAUUAACAUGUUUGUUUAUUUAUUUAUUUGUGGUAUUUGAAGAUGUGUCUCUGCUUUGCUUUUCUCUACUUGCCUAACCCAGGGCCUUUUCUUCAGGACACUGUGGGUGGGGAUGGAGGUGACAGUGGGGGGGAGGGAAGCUCUCUCCCCAAGGCCCACUCAAAACCCGUCUUCUUUGUUGGGCCCUCUUUUCUUUUUGCUUAUGUUCAGUGAAGUUUGGAGAUUCUUUUAUACUUUUCUUAUGUAGUCUCUUGUUUGUCUUAUAAUAAUCAUCAUGAUGAUAAAUAAAUAGGUAACGUGGCUUAGCCUCCUCCCAUGCAGAGUGGAAUGUCCUGAAUUCCUUCCAACAUCACCCUAUGUAUGACUUUAUUUCUGCUUUUUACAUAUUAUGAAUAUUUAUCUUGCUCCAUCGUCAUGAGUCCUCAAGACAAUUGCCAAAUACAGCCACUAGCAGUGAGAGAUGCAAGGCUGCAGGAGCACUUUCAGAUGCGGGCGUUCAAGCAGCACUCAGGUCUGGAGCUGAGAAAUCUGAUUCAGACAGAUUUUAAUCAGUGUUGAGAAUGUCCCUGGUUAGGCCCCUGCUUCUUCUAAGUUCCAGCAUAGGUGAUUCUAAUAUACGUUCUGGUUAACAUUGUCCCUUCUUUUUCACACACUGAAAGUAGAGUAAUUUGUGUCUGUGUUUAAUCUUACCAACUACAUUGGAAGCCUGAGCAGGGCAAGGACCAAUAAUUUUACUUCUUUGUAUUUCCUGUAUUGCUUUAGUAUGCUGGCAUGUACAUAGUAGGCACUAAAUACAUGUUUGUUGGCUGAUUGUUUAAGAAAGCCAGAGUGUAUUACAACCAUUGGGUGAUACUAAAUCUGGGGCUGUCAUGGACAUGAGACACAAUGGUUGAAAUCACUAUGGAAAAAGAUGUUUUGUGUAAUAUUUGCUUCAAGAACAUUGUGCUUUCCUGAAGGCAGUAACCAAGAGUUAAAAUGUCUCUAAUGUUUUGUUUAAACUAAUGAACAAACAUAUGCUUUUGGUUAUACAUCAUAAAGUUUAGCUCUGUCCCUUAAUAAUAUAUAUUAUUACUACUUUGGAAAAUAGAUUUUUAAUGGUUAAGAACAAUGAAAUUUACAAAGCUAAAUCUUGAUCAUUAUCCUCUUUAGAGGAUACAAAUCCAGUGCUCUUAACAUGUUACCAUCGUAAUAUUAAUGAAAUAAACAAAUGUAUUAUGUUGUUGCAAGUU